rnacentral:rRNA from 1 species
GAUGAACGCUGGCGGCGUGCCUAAUACAUGCAAGUCGAACGCGCAGCGAAAGGUGCUUGCACCUUUCAAGCGAGUGGCGAACGGGUGAGUAACACGUGGAUAACCUGCCUCAAGGCUGGGGAUAACAUUUGGAAACAGAUGCUAAUACCGAAUAAAACUUAGUAUCGCAUGAUACAAAGUUAAAAGGCGCUACGGCGUCACCUAGAGAUGGAUCCGCGGUGCAUUAGUUAGUUGGUGGGGUAAAGGCUUACCAAGACGAUGAUGCAUAGCCGAGUUGGGAGACUGAUCGGCAACAUUGGGACUGAGACACGGCCCAAACUCCUACGGGAGGCUGAAGUAGGGAAUCUUCCACAAUGGGCGCAAGCCUGAGGGAGCAACGCCGCGUGUGUGAUGAAGGCUUUCGGGUCGUAAAGCACUGUUGUAUGGGAAGAAAUGCUAAAAUAGGGAAUGAUUUUAGUUUGACGGUACCAUACCAGAAAGGGACGGCUAAAUACGUGCCAGCCGCCGCAGUAA